GAUGAACGCUGGCGGCGUGCCUAAUACAUGCAAGUCGAGCGAACGGACGAGAAGCUUGCUUCUCUGAUGUUAGCGGCGGACGGGUGAGUAAAACGUGGAUAACCUACCUAUAAGACUGGGAUAACUUCUGGAAACCGUAGCUAAUACCGGAUAAUAUUUUGAACCGCAUGGUUCAAAAGUGAAAGACUGUCUUGCUGUCACUUAUAGAUGGAUCCGCGCUGCAUUAGCUAGUUGGUAAGGUAACGGCGUACCAAGGCAACGAUGCAUAGCCGACCUGAGAGGGUGAUCGGCCACACUGGAACUGAGACACGGGCCAGACUCCUACGGGAGGCAGCAGUAGGGAAUCUUCCGCAAUGGGCGAAAGACUGACGGAGCAACGCAGCGUGAGUGAUGAAGGUCUUCGGAUCGUAAAACUCUGUUAUUAGGGAAGAACAUAUGUGUAAGUAACUGUGCACAUCGUGACGGUACCUAAUCAGAAAGCCACGGCUAACUACGUG
rnacentral:rRNA from 1 species